ensembl:lncRNA
AUAACACUCGAAAUGUAUAUAAGAAAUACUCAAGUUAAUAAAAAAAAAAAAAGUAGUUUGGUUUGAACCUAUGCAAAUCUUAUAUGUGCUGCCCCAGUCUCUGUGAUUGCCUGCAUGUACCUCUAAUGCUGUAUAAAGAAAACAUUGGUUCCUUGGAGUUAUCCACCACCUCAGAACCUUUACAAUCUUUCUUCCUCUAUUCCCACACAAAUCCAUGAAACUUGCAGGGAGACAUUUGCCAAAGGGAUUCAAGUAAGGAUUUAGUACUCCAAGGUCUCUCUUUCAGUACACAUACCCCACUGAAUAUCCUUCUAUUAUUUCUCAUGUAGUGCAAGAAGCAUCUUUGACAUGGUUUAAGGAAAGAUAUAUAGGUGUAGUAUUUUGUCAUCAAGAGUCAUUUAUUUUGAUGUUGCCUUUACAUAAUGGUAGAAGUGUGUUUUUAGCCUGUGACCUAUCUAAUCUAUGGUUAUUAAUUACUUUUGUAGUGUCCAGUAGAGCUUUCCUUCCAUGGAGGAAAGCAUAUAUCCAAUAAAUGUAGGUGUUACAGCCUAUCAUAUUUGUGCCAGUUUGUAGCAUUUGAUCUUGUUAUUUUUCCCUACUCAAAUAACAUGCAGCAUACCUUCAUGCACAGUCUAUAAUGGGAAAACUUCUGUUUGGACAACAGACUGGUUUUUCCCAUUCAAUAAUAUGAACAUAUAGUUUCUUCAGUAAUUUUAGCUUAACAUCAGGUAAUUCAGAUUUAAUGAUAUAUUUGUGUAUGGUUUGUGGUGUUUCAGUCAGGUAAUAGAGUUCCACAUUAGCAAAUUAUUCAACAAAGCAAUGUAUUCCUGUCAGGAAACUUUAUGUAUGAAGCGAUAAUUUAUCUCUCAAUAUAUCUACCCCUGUAUUCUUUUGUUAACCUUGAAUACAAUAUUUCAGAUUCUAGAGAUUUGGUACAGAAAGUACUGUUUCCAAAAUUACUGUAGUGGCCAAGCAACCACUGAGAUCCUUUCUUUUCUAUAAUUGAAUUUCUCAGUUACAUAUUAUAGCAGGCUGUCUCUUUUCUAUCAUCUAGCACCUGUAGCCUUAGGAAAUUAAAACAAAUCAAUUUUAUUAUAUAUUUAGUUAUAUUGAUUAUCUAUUUUCUGUUCAACUCAUUUUUUAAAUAUGAGUUUAAAUACACAAUUUCCUUUAAUGAUCAUUACACACACACACACACACACACACACACACACACACACACACAUUAAAUACUCCUAAAUGCAAAACAAAAUAUGUAUGUCAUGUGAGUUUGGAAGUUGAUUUUAUUUUGUUAUGUAAUUCUUCCCUUCUUACUGAUCUUUUGAGAAGUAUUUUACCUAUUUUAUCUUUAAGCGAACAGUCAAUAAAAAUACCAAGUCCCAGGAGUGAAAGCUUCAUUUGGUUACUAGAGAUGACCUUUUGGGACCAUUUGGAUCAUUUGG